rnacentral:rRNA from 1 species
GUUAGGAAUAUUGGACAAUGGGCGCAAGCCUGAUCCAGCCAUGCCGCGUGAGUGAUGAAGGCCUUAGGGUUGUAAAGCUCUUUCAGUAGGGAAGAUAAUGACGGUACCUACAGAAGAAGCCCCGGCUAACUUCGUGCCAGCAGCCGCGGUAAUACGAAGGGGGCUAGCGUUGUUCGGAUUUACUGGGCGUAAAGCGCACGUAGGCGGAUCGUUAAGUCGGGGGUGAAAUCCUGGAGCUCAACUCCAGAACUGCCUUCGAUACUGGCGAUCUUGAGUCCGGAAGAGGUGAGUGGAACUCCUAGUGUAGAGGUGGAAUUCGUAGAUAUUCGGAAGAACACCAGUGGCGAAGGCGACAUACUGGCUCAUUACUGACGCUGAGGCGCGAAAGCGUGGGGAGCAAACAGGAUUAGAUACCCGGGUAGUCC